rnacentral:tRNA from 2 species
GGGCCGAUAGCUCAGUUGGUAGAGCAGCUGGCUUUUAACUAGUAGGUCCCGCGUUCGAGUCGCGGUCGGCCCACCA